rnacentral:tRNA from 1 species
AUCUGGCUGGCUCAGUUGGUGGAGCACGUGACUCGUGAUCUCAGGGCUGUGGGUUCGAGCCCCAUACUGAAUG